CAUUAUCGAAACGGUGGAGUGAGACUGUCGCUGGCAUGCAUGGUGCACGUCUCGCUUUGCCUCUUUUACACACCUGUGCACCUGUCGUAGGUCCUCGUCAAACGGGAUCUAUGUUUUAUCUUAUCGCUUCGUCGUAUGUCCAUAGAAUGAUACAUAACGAAAUACAACUUUCAGCAACGGAUCUCUUGGCUCUCGCAUCGAUGAAGAACGCAGCGAAUUGCGAUAAGUAAUGUGAAUUGCAGAUUUUCAGUGAAUCAUCGAAUCUUUGAACGCACCUUGCGCUCCUUGGUAUUCCGAGGAGCAUGCCUGUUUGAGUGUCAUCGAAUUCUCAACCGUGUUCUCUCGCAAGAGUUUUUUCAUGGCUUGGAAUUGGAAGUUGCUGGCGUCGUUCAGCUCUUCUGAAAUGCAUUAGCGAUGGGGGACUAGCCAGUACGGCCCCGACGUGAUAAUGAUCGUUGGGGUGGCUCCAGUCCUAAUCGGAAAGUCACUGGUUGGACGAUUUGACCUCAAAUCAGGUAGGACUACCCGCUGAACUUAAGCAUAUCAAUAAGCGGAGGAAAAGAAACUAACGAGGAUUCCCUUAGUAACUGC
rnacentral:rRNA from 1 species